UACGUAUGGUGCAAGCGUUAUCCGGAUUUACUGGGCGUAAAGGGAGCGCAGGCGGCGCGCCAAGUCUGAUGUGAAACCCCGGGGCUCAACCCCGGGCAUGCAUUGGAAACUGGCGGGCUGGAGUGCCGGAGAGGCAAGCGGAAUUCCUAGUGUAGCGGUGAAAUGCGUAGAUAUUAGGAGGAACACCAGUGGCGAAGGCGGCUUACUGGACGGCAACUGACGCUGAGGCUCGAAAGCGUGGGGAGCAAACAGG
rnacentral:rRNA from 1 species